AAACACCUGCUUCUGCACAUUUCAAAGAACUGUCUUUCCCCAGCUUGUCGGUCCACUUUCUCGGUAGCAGCGCGUCACUGAAGCCAUCUGUUUAGAAACAUGAGCUAACAGCCUUUUACGGAGCUUUAAUCGCCCCCUCCCAUGACGCGUCGAAGGGUGUCCACUGCGCGGUCCCCUCGGGCUGACCCGCGUCCCGGGUCUGCGGAGUCAGCUGCGUCCCCUUCUUGCUAGUGCCCUGAGAACGAACGAACGUCCUGCCGCCGCUCCUCUGUCACUUUCUGCAAGGCCACAGGUUUCUCUGGGUGUCGUGUGCAGGGACCGCACCCAGGAUGCAAUAGAAAUUCUAUAGUUUGUCGUCUGAUGGAUGGAGCGCAUGACCCUCCUCAUUUACCAUGAGGCCUCUGAGUAGGGACCUUUUAAAAGAAAUUUCAAAAUAGGUUUGGAGGAAACCGACCUUCCUGUGGAACAUCUGUGGUGCCCUAAUUAAUGGAAAAUCAAUGAAAACUCCAUUACAUAGCAUCUUUCCCCACCAGCCCGUGGACAUAUUCCCAGGCGAGCCCACCUGCUGGGACCGUUACCUUUCCACAUGGAAACCAGGGCAGCACUGGCCAGCACAGCGCACCCGGCCGGAGCUGCCCGGAGGGAAUUCAGAACUCCUGGCUCUCCAGGCUGCCCUUGAACUCACCGCCCUCGCCAAUGCUCACCUGUUCCGCUGGCAGGUUACCAGGCGGCACCGCGAGAAUGACAGCAACGUGCUCUGGGCAGGGGGCCAAGCUGCUGGAAGUCCCCGGCCCGAUACAGGACUGCACAUUGGGAGGGCAGGGACUCCCUGCUCCUAUGUCCUGUCCUCAGGAAACUCGCAAGCUACACUCAGUUCAGUCCACACUCGCCACGUGUAGAGGCCUGAACCACAACUUCAGCAGUUACCUAUGUGACAGCCAAAGACUCCAGGACCGUGUAGAAGGUUCAUGCACAUUUGAAGCUGUAGCCCCUCAGAAGAGGAGACACUAUAUGACCAACAGUGUCCACGGACGUGUUUGCCUGAGGAAAUAAUUCCUGAAAUUCGAGCAGAGAAUCCAGCUUCCAACUUGCAGCGGAGCCACCAGUGAGCUCGAGUCAGGCGACUUUCACACACGGGCCCUCCUGCGUUAACUGGCGCACACGCGUUUCAGACACUAACACGUGUUCCUGCUAAAAACUAAAAAGUAUCUUUAAAGAAGGCCGGUAACCGGAUGGAAUCGUCUAUUAACUUCUCGGAAUAAGAAUUAACACUUUUAUUUUUGUUUCCAUUCUCACCGCGUAAUUUUAACUGUUGUCCUCCAAGAGGCCUUUCUAGUUAUUUCUGGGCCGGGAACGAACGAGCAAUAAAUAAACUCCGUGCA